rnacentral:rRNA from 1 species
UACGUAGGGGGCGAGCGUUGUCCGGAAUGACUGGGCGUAAAGGGCGCGUAGGCGGCUAUGUAAGUCUGGAGUGAAAGUCCUGCUUUCAAGGUGGGAAUUGCUUUGGAAACUGUGUAGCUUGAGUGCAGAAGAGGUAAGUGGAAUUCCCAGUGUAGCGGUGAAAUGCGUAGAGAUUGGGAGGAACACCAGUGGCGAAGGCGACUUACUGGGCUGUAACUGACGCUGAGGCGCGAAAGCGUGGGGAGCGAACAGG